AUGCAGGGAGCCUGGCGGCUGGAGUUCGCCGGCCGUUGGCGCCCUCCUCCCCUACGACCGGCACAUCCACCCUCUAGCUCACCUCCUCGCGCUGAUGGCCGGCUCGCCACCGGCGAGCAGCACCAACAGCAGGACCGCCGCCGCACCUCACCGCUCUCUUCUCUCUCCCUCUGGCCUUCCAUCUCCUUUCUCCCGUCCUCCCUUUUCUCUCCCGCUCAUCUCUCACUUCUCUCGCAGGCACCCAACGCAUGGCGUGCCUCGCCCCAUUCCUGGGCUCGGGCGGCGCAUACGCCCGCCGCGACGCAUCUCCUGCCUUGGCUUCUGCGGAGUCAGCGCCGGCGGCAAGCGGCGGGGCAUUCACGGCGGUUCAGUGGAGAGUUGGAGCCUUUUGAGGAAAUUAUUCAUUUCAUCUACAAGGACAUGUUUUUCAAUAAGACUGAUCCACAAAGGUUACUUGAUAUUGUGGUCACUGCUGAUAAGUUUGAGGUGAUUGGAGCAAUCAAGCACUGUAAAACUCUGAUGCUGCAGUCCCCGCUGACUCUUGAAAUUGCCCUUCUUUAUUUGGAGUUCACUUCUGAGAAGGUAGAACUGAAUGAAAUUCUUGGUCCUGUUCAUACUGCUUGUGCUGAUUUUGUGGCCAAUACAUACAAAGAUCUGUUAAGUCAUGAGGAAGCCGUGCUCCAGUUGCGGCUCUCCGCUAUGAUUUCCAUCUUUAAGAGCAGUGCUCUUAUUCUUCCCAACGAAGACUAUGCAUUUACCUUUUUGCUGAAAUGGCUGGAGAAAGAGUACUCUGAUAAGGAAGAGAGAAAGGAUGUGUUUCAGAGAAUCGUGGUUUCUCUUAUCCGGUUCACGCACCUGUCUGAAGAAGCUCUGCUUGAUUUUACCUCUUGUAAUCUAGUUUCGAGUCCUGUUGACGCGAUCAAUAUUGUAUCUAAUGCAAUGCAUUUCAAGGCUACUUCAUCUCGAAGAAUUGCUUACUGGAGGUAUGAGCAGCGUGAUUAUCUUGUGAGGCCCGUCUCAUUAUCUUAUCUUAUGCCAGCUCCACAUCCUGAGGUUGUGGCAUACAUGGAUAUAUCACUGGGUCGCUGCUCUAGGAUGACUUCUCCUGGGAAAACAAAUGCUUACUCUGAAGCUUUUGCCUUUGGUGGAUUGACCCUAAACAUGGUCGCUACGUGUUUGACGCUGAUACUAAUACUCCCAAUUCACUUGGUUUGUUUUUAUGUGCCCAAACCGAGCAGCCAGCCAUCCUGA
rnacentral:rRNA from 1 species